UUUUAAAAAUGAGGUGCCAAACACCCAAAUGUGUAUUGCAAUAUUUAUGUGAGUGCAAUUUAAGACCUAGUUAGGCUGCUUUUUUUGUCUGCCCAGUUCUGCUCCCAAGUAUCUGGAGGACAGAAGCCACUUGCCCAAUUUUUCAAUUCAACUUUGUCUGUUUUUCCUCCCAGAAGUCUUGGCAGAGGAUACAGGAGGCAAUAGGCCUUGAUGCCAAGCUAACAGUGCCUCACUGACAGACUAUGAGAGAGACAGAGGCAAGCUGGUGAAUUUUUCAUUGGGGUCUGCGACUGGCAAAGGAAAAAGCCUCCUCCUACUGGCUGCAAGGAGACCUCGGAGGCAGAGAGAGGAGGAUAAGUAUAGGCCUCCCCAUUCAAUUAACCACAUACUGCUCUGUAAUUUCACCCUCAAAUACAUGCACAUGCACACAUGCAUGCAUACACACAAACACUUCUGGUGAGAUGAGUACACUGGUAAAUGGCUAUGUGAUGAUUGUGAGUUUGCCAGACCUGAAAGUGGGCCACUUAACGACCAGGACUCACAUGCCUCAAGGUGUGAAUUGUUGUGAAACCAGGUGGUUCACCAACAACAGCAGCAAUCAGUCCUGUAUCUCCCCAUUAGUCAGUUAGAACUGAAGAAGCCUCUUGGAUGAAGGUGAAACGUCUUCAAGAACCUACAAGAGAAGUCCCACUGAUUUCUACUGAAGCUCCAAUCAAAUCAUUUGUGUUUUCGUUAGAAUUUUCUUUGCACAUUUCAAUAACUGUUCAUCCGAUUUCUCUGGAAUUUGGUGGGUGUGUCGCUGGUGACCAAGAAUGCGCAGUAUCACGUCUGAAGCAGAUCUGAUGAACAGGGUCCAUUUUAGAGGCCUUUAUGUGAUCCUCUACCUGGCCUGUGACUGCUUGUGAGUGGAGCUGCUGCUAAGCAAUGGAAUGAAAAAAUAAACAUCAAAUUUUACUGAUCAAAGUUGGAAACAGGCCUCUUCUACAGAAGCUGCAGCUAUAUCUGUGUUUCCUUUCAGUCAGACUGAAAACAUUUCAAUUUUUUUAUAGAAAACUAUGUGGAUAUCUUACACUUCUGUGUUUUUUAUACACAGAUCAGGCAUGACAUUAUGAAUACUGACGGGUGAAGUAAAUAAUGAUUAUGUCUUCAACGUGGCAUCUGUAAGUGGGUUGAAUAUAUUAGGCAGCAGUUGAAAAUUGUGUCCUCAAAGUUGAUGUGUAAGCAGCAGCAAAAAUGGGCAAGCGAGUCUAACAGGACCAAACUGUGAUGGUUAGAUGACUGGGUCAGAGCAUCUCCAGAACUGCAGCUCUUGUGGGGGUGUUCCAGGCUGCAGUGGUCAGUAUCUAUCAAAAGUGGUCCAAGAAAGGAACACUGGUGAACUUGCGACAGAGACAUGGGUGGCCAAGGCUCAUUGAUGCAUGUGGGGAGUGAAGGCUGGCCUGUGUGGUCCAAUCCAACAGAUGAGCUACUGUUGCUCAAAUAGCUGAAGAAGUUAGGGCAAUGUUCUGCUGGGAAACCUUGGGCCCUGUCAUCUAUAUUGUGGUUACUUUAAAAAGUACCACCUACCCAAGUAUUGUUGCAGCCCAUGCACACCCUUUCAUGGAAACUUUAUUCCCUGAUGGCUAUGGCCUCUUUUAACAGGAUAAUGUUUCGUGCCACAAAGCAAAAAAAUGGUUCAGGAAUGGUUUGAGGAGCACAACAACCACUUUGAGGUGUUGACUUGGCUUCCAAAUUCCCCAGAUCUCAAUCAAAUCAAGCAUCAAUGGGAUGUGCUGGACAAACAGGUCCGAUCCAUGGAGGCCCCACUACGCAAUUUCCUGGACUUAAAGGAUCUGCUGCUAACAUCUUGGUGCCAGAUACCACAAAACACCUUCAGGGGUUUAGUGAAGUCCAGGCCUCGACGGGUCAGGGCUGUUUUGGCAGCAAAAGGGGACCAACACAAUAUAUGCAGGUGGUCAAAUGUUUUGCCUGAUUGGUAUACAUAAACUUCUGUCUGUGUAGAUCGAGUACAAUGAUGCUGGAAUAACCAACACUCACUACAUCAGAGUCCUUAAAGGUGAGAUCUACGGAGCGGAUCACAGCGUCGUAUGGUUCUGUCCUGAUCCCAGGGCCACAGUGAGACCUCAGACUCCUCUGAAGAACCUCUAUCUGACAAGUCAGGACAUGCUUGUUUGUGGUUUCACCUUCACUGGAGCUCUCACCUGCGGCUCAGUCAUCCCCAACCACAACCUCCAUCUGGAAGCCAUUGUCUUGGCAAAGAAAACCAAAUUUAUGAAGGAGACACUGAAAGAGGAGUAAGUUCCUUAAAACAUUCAGCUGAGUGACCACUACACACUGAGAUGAGCCACCGCUGUGCUGCAACAACAGAUCAAAGACAUGUGGAACUCUGAAAGCUAAUGAAUCAAUAAAAUGAAGUGGAAAGCUUCAUUUUCCAUGUCGCCUCAUGUCAGCACUGAGCUGUGUGUUUUAACUUUGGACUGCUUCAGUUUGGUUAAAUAGUCAGUAAUAUAAAAUGAAAGAAGGGAUGUUGCAUGUCUGAGUAAUAAGAAUUUUCAUCUUUCCACCUGGACUCUUCUAAGCUAACAACAUGUAUCCAAAUGUUGGCAUUCGUAUGCACUGCGUUGUGUCUUAUUUUGAUGUAAAUUUGCUUGUGCAUUUAUCUCUGUGCCAAAUUCUGCCUAAUUUAUUUAAUUUAAGCUUCCUCCCUUUGAGUUUAAUUAAAGGCUUAAAGCAAUACAAUGAAGAUCAGACUUAUAAAAAGCA